UACGGAGGGUGCAAGCGUUAUCCGGAUUCACUGGGUUUAAAGGGUGCGUAGGUGGGCUAGUAAGUCAGUGGUGAAAUCUCCGGGCUUAACCCGGAAACUGCCAUUGAUACUAUUAGUCUUGAAUACCAUGGAGGUGAGCGGAAUAUGUCAUGUAGCGGUGAAAUGCUUAGAUAUGACAUAGAACACCAAUUGCGAAGGCAGCUCGCUACGCGGUUAUUGAUACUGAGGCACGAAAGCGUGGGGAUCAAACAGG
rnacentral:rRNA from 1 species